GUUGGGUAAAUUACAUUAGAAUGGGUCUGCUGGUUUGGGGGUUAAAUGGUGUGUUAUUAUGGUGAGGUCUUGUGUUUCAAUCCCUAUGUCGGUAAGGGUAUUAUUUUUUGCUCAGAUUUCGGGAUAGAGUUGUGUCAUAGGGGGCUUCUAAGUAGUGGAUGUGUAGUGGGAAUUACAGGAGAAUAUUAAGGGAUUUUGGGGGUUAUCGGGAUUUUAUUUUAUUUUUUUCCCAUAACUGAAUUUUGACUCUCUUUUCCAAAAAAAAUUCUGCCAUCUAUUCUUCUCCCUCUCCUCUUUCCUAAACUCUCAGUUUUUCUAUCUUUCUCUUCUUUUUCUUCUUC
rnacentral:lncRNA from 1 species